GAUGAACGCUGGCGGCGUGCCUAAUACAUGCAAGUCGAGCGAACAGACGAGGAGCUUGCCCUCUGACGUUAGCGGCGGACGGGUGAGUAACACGUGGAUAACCUACCUAUAAGACUGGGAUAACUUCGGGAAACCGGAGCUAAUACCGGAUAAUAUAUUGAACCGCAUGGUUCAAUAGUGAAAGACGGUUUUGCUGUCACUUAUAGAUGGAUCCGCGCCGCAUUAGCUAGUUGGUAAGGUAACGGCUUACCAAGGCAACGAUGCGUAGCCGACCUGAGAGGGUGAUCGGCCACACUGGAACUGAGACACGGUCCAGACUCCUACGGGAGGCAGCAGUAGGGAAUCUUCCGCAAUGGGCGAAAGCCUGACGGAGCAACGCCGCGUGAGUGAAGAAGGUCUUCGGAUCGUAAAACUCUGUUAUUAGGGAAGAACAAAUGUGUAAGUAACUAUGCACGUCUUGACGGUACCUAAUCAGAAAGCCACGGCUAACUACGUG
rnacentral:rRNA from 1 species